GUAGCUGUGGCCUAGUGGAUAAGGCGAUUGACUGGUGAUGGUAAGGUUGCUGGUUUGAUCCCCAGCUCCA